UAUCACAUCAAAUUUUACACAAGCUAUCUAGGAAGUGUGGAGUGGAGUCUCUUAAUUUUGAGAGGCAACUAUGUCCAUCGAAGCUCUGGCAAUGGCUGGCGUUAGUUACACGGAAUGUGGCAACAAUCUUGAGUUUAGUGAGUUGGAAUUAGAGCCACCACUGUAUCUUAUUGCUGAGGAAAAGAGUCCGAGUUUUCAAGCUAAUAAAAAGGCUGCUGAUAAUAAUAAGUUGCUGAUUAACGGUGAGACCAUUAAAGAAAGGAUUCGGGAAUGAGCUAAAGCAGUUGCUUCAAUCAAUUCCUCAUACAUUUCUGACUCCGAAUCAGAAAUUAACAAGGACGCAACGGCUACACAGAUUUUUACACGCAAGGAAGCAUUUAAAGCAUCAACCAAACUAAUUGUUGCUGGAAACUCAUGACUUAUAAGGGCGUUACAGCCGUUACUAGAAAUUAGAGAUAGAAUCCAGUAGAGUUUAAUAUUCAGGAAAAAUCUUAGUCAAUGCUAUAUGUACUUUUAGCAAAUUAUUAGUGAUAAAAUAGAAGAGACUGUAGAUAAUUGCAUGAAAAUUUAAGAAUUUUUAUUAACCUCUUAUUAUUUAAUCAGAG
rnacentral:lncRNA from 1 species